GGGUGAAGACGGAGGCGGGUUCUGGACAGACCUACGCUGUCGGGGAGUGUUUACUUCGCCUCCACUUCUGUUCCUCCCCGCCCUGGUGCUGCUCCAGGUCACAUACUCUUCCUGAGCCGGCUUCAGCCUCUCCGCGCAGAAGUCUCCCGGAGCCAUGGCCUAGUAUUCUUAUGUGAAGUCUACCAAGCUUGUGCUCAAGGGAACCGAGAUUUGCCUGAGGUUGACUGUACAUGCAAAUAUUGAGCUUUCCUCCUGGCCUCCGUGAUAAACAGAAGUUUUGAUAUUGUUAGGCGAGAUGGAAAGAAAGUAUCAAGGAGUGAGCUGAAGCCACUGCCCUUGAGAACCCUCUCGAGGAGUCUGGCCUCAUGAAGAUGCCAGAAUAAAUGGCAGUAAGAAGAAAAAGAGCAAAGAUAAGAAGAGAAAAAGAGAAGAUGAAGAAACCCAGCUUGAUAUGUUGGAAUCUGGUGAACAGUAACAAACUUUGGUGAAAUUUCAGGAACCAUAGCCAUUGAAGUGGAUGAGGGAACCUAUAUACAUGCACUCAACAAUGGUCUUUUUACCCUGGGAGCUCCACACAAAGAAGAAUCGCCCUGAAACCUGGCUAUGGAAAAUAUCUUAGUAUAAAUUCAGAUGAACUUGUUGUUGGCGUUCAGAUGCAAUUGGACCAAGAGAACAAUGGGAACCAGUCUUUCAAAAUCAAGAGGUCAGAAAUGGUGGGCCAGCUGAGAUGGGAGAAGAAAAGAGAAAUGGCACAAAGUGGAGAGAAGACACCGACCAUACCUCCUUUCCUCUCUUUCCCACCACAGGUGGACAGCCCAAAGCACACUCCAACUGGAGGAAGGUUUGCCAUUAAAGAUAAGGUGGAGUUUUGAUUAUUA
rnacentral:lncRNA from 1 species